rnacentral:rRNA from 1 species
GACGAACGCUGGCGGCGUGCUUAACACAUGCAAGUCGAACGGAAAGGCCCUGCUUUUGUGGGGUGCUCGAGUGGCGAACGGGUGAGUAACACGUGAGUAACCUGCCCUUGACUUUGGGAUAACUUCACGAAACUGGGGCUAAUACCGGAUAGAAGCUCUUGCUCCGUGUGGGGGGUUGGAAAGUUUCGGCGGUGGGGGAUGGACUUGCGGCUUACCAGCUGGUUGGUGGGGUAGGGGUUUACCAAGGUUUUGACGGCUAGCCGGCCUGGGGGGGUGACCGGACACAUUGGGACUGAGAUACGGCCCAGACUCCUACGGGAGGCAACAGUGGGGAAUAUUGCACAAUGGGCGGAAGCCUGAUGCAGCAACGCCGCGUGCGGAAUGACGGCCUUCGGGUUGUAAACCGCUUUCGCCUGUGACGAAGCGUGAGUGACGGUAAUGGGUAAAGAAGCACCGGCUAACUACGUG